CUUCCCCAAAACCGCCGAUCCACCCUCUCUUCCCCGACCCUUCUUCUCGAUCUCUUCUCCUCUCCACCGAGCCUCUCUCGCGUCGUCGCCGAUCUCCGCGAGCUCACCGCCGGCGGAGGUUUUCCUCUCUGGAGUCUCACCAACGUCAGGGUCCCUGGCUACCGGGCGGCUAGAUCCUCUCCUCCCUCCCCCUCUCAUGUCUCUGCCCUAGAUCACCGACGCACCAGUUCUUGGCGAUCGGCGAUUCUUUCUCCGUCUCUUGGAGUUGCCGGCGAGGAGUGGAUCUUGGAGCUUUGAAGGGGUUAAAGCUAAGUCGAUUCUUUGGUUAGGUCGUAGAUUCCUUCCUUCUUGUUGAUUGAGGGGCAGAGGAAUUUCCAGGAACAUAGAAUCGAAUCUGGCGACACCUCCUGGAGACAAUCGGUUGAGUGAGGACCUGUUCUGUGGAUUUCAAAUUGAAUGCUGUGAGUUCUUUGAUCCAGCAAUUCAUCCUGUUACCGGCAGCAACAAUCCUUGCUGUAGAUCUACAAUCAGGGUAGUGAAUUGAGGUCCUGUUUCUGUGGGAUUUCUAUUGGUUAUGACAGCCACCUCAUCCAGUAGCUCUUCUGGUUCCAGCUAUCAACAACAGUGUGUAGAAUUAGGUUGAGGCCGUCAGGAGAUAUUCCAGUCGCUAGCCCCAUUAUCGCGAGGAUUUUCUUUGUCG